AAUCAACGUUGGCGGCGCGCUUAACACAUGCAAGUCGAACGAGAAAGUGGAGCAAUCCAUGAGUACAGUGGCGUACGGGUGAGUAACACGUGGGUAUCUACCUCUUAGUGGGGAAUAACCCUGGGAAACCGGGGCUAAUACCGCAUAAGCCUGUGAGGGGAAAGUCGAAAGACGCUGAGAGAGGAGCCCGCGGCCGAUUAGCUAGUUGGUGGGGUAAAGGCUCACCAAGGCAAAGAUCGGUAGCCGGCCUGAGAGGGCACACGGCCACACUGGCACUGAAACACGGGCCAGACUCCUACGGGAGGCAGCAGUGGGGAAUCUUGCACAAUGGGGGAAACCCUGAUGCAGCGACGCCGCGUGAGCGAUGAAGCCCUUCGGGUGUAAAGCUCUUUCGACGGGAACGAUAAUGACGGUACCCGGAGAAGAAGCUGCGGCUAACUACGUG
rnacentral:rRNA from 1 species